GCAUCAUGUAGAAUGACAAAAAAGCCCAUGACAAUUAACUCAUCCGAUCCGGAUCCGACGGAUGACAAUCAAUCUUCCAUUUAUUCCAUACGGAGGGGCGAAGAGAGAUGAUGAGAGUGAUUACGCUCGCCUCGCGUCGCCUGGACCACCGACGCCUUCCAUGUGUUUGCUCGAUUGCCUCUUCGAAGAAGAUCUCCUCUCGUUUCGCCGAGAGCCGCAGCAGCCAUCGGCGACGCACGGGCGCUGGGUGGGGGUCCUCCAGGAAAUGAUGGAACGAUCAGAAGCCAAGGACUUCAAGAAAGAAUAAAAGAGAUGGUGUCUGAGAACAAUGGUAGUUUGCCGAUCACUUGCAGAGGAACAUACGGGUGGAAUCAUCACUGUUCUUCUAUGAAUUUAUCACAGUACUUCCGUUUGGAUUCACCCAAAGCACAAACAAUUGCAAAGGAGAUUGCUUCAGUUCAGAACUACAAGAGCAGGGCAAGAGUAGCAAAGGAAGAACAUGAACACAGGAUACUUGCUGCCGUCGAUGUGAGCAGCUUCACCUCUGCAAGGCCAGCCAUUGCCGGUCGACCUCCCGAAAGGCACUGCCUCGGUUCUCC